GAUGAACGCUGGCGGCGUGCCUAAUACAUGCAAGUCGAGCGAACAGACGAGGAGCUUGCUCCUUCGACGUUAGCGGCGGACGGGUGGGUAACACGUAGGUAACCUACCUAUAAGACUGGGAUAACUUCGGGAAACCGGAGCUAAUACCGGAUAAUAUUUCGAACCGCAUGGUUCGAUAGUGAAAGAUGGCUUUGCUAUCACUUAUAGAUGGACCUGCGCCGUAUUAGCUAGUUGGUAAGGUAACGGCUUACCAAGGCAACGAUACGUAGCCGACCUGAGAGGGUAAUCGGCCACACUGGAACUGAGACACGGUCCAGACUCCUACGGGAGGCAGCAGUAGGGAAUCUUCCGCAAUGGGCGAAAGCCUGACGGAGCAACGCCGCGUGAGUGAUGAAGGUCUUCGGAUCGUAAAACUCUGUUAUUAGGGAAGAACAAACGUGUAAGUAACUGUGCACGUCUUGACGGUACCUAAUCAGAAAGCCACGGCUAACUACGUG
rnacentral:rRNA from 1 species